AGGACGAACGCUGGCGGCGUGCUUAACACAUGCAAGUCAUGGGGGCCCGCAAGGGGCAACCGGCGAACGGGCGCGUAACACGUGAGCAAUCUGCCUAAGAUGUGGGGGGAUAGCCGGCCCAACGGCCGGGUAAUACCGCAUACGCUUCUAUGGUGGCAUCACCUAAGAAGGAAACCCUUCGGGGGCAUCUAGAGGAGCUCGCGGCCUAUCAGCUAGUUGGUGAGGUAAUGGCUCACCAAGGCUUUGACGGGUAGC
rnacentral:rRNA from 1 species